AGUCCAAGCCCACCCACAGGGAAUGCAAUUUCAUCUUCAGGGCAUUCACCUACGGAAAUGGAGACAGAUUCCUCCAACCAAUUAUGGAUGUGGAUCGACUUAUGAAGCUUCAGGGCCAAUUAGUGGCUAUUGGUGGCUUAUCCAAAUGCAAGAUGGCUAUUACCUUGAAGGACAAGUGCAGCUGAUGCAUGGGAACACACCUCUAAGCUCCCACUGGAGCCAAACACCAUCCUGUUCCUUCGAAGAUGCUUGGCUGAAAUUCUGGAAUUCUCUUCCUGGCAGUACUAAGGGUGUUCUUAGACUUCACAGACUGCAGUAUUACGAGAAGUCAGCUCACCAUCAGCAUCUCCAGAUUUAUCAACAGCAAGGGAGUACAAGAAACAAACCAGAUCACAGAAGCUAAUUUUAAAAAAUCCAGGUGUCUGCUGUCUAUGAGGUAAUAACUGGCCUGUACCAGCCUCUAAAGAGAUCGGAAAGCCUACAGUGCAGGCAAGAUGAGUCAGUCACAGGAGGAUUAUUUACUCCAUGUCCGUUCAUCACACAUAGCCCACCCCAUUCAACAUUCUAGGAAAAGAAUUUAUGCAGAGCCAGGUGGAAAUUUCAAUCACAAUGUUACAUAAUCAAUGACAGAACCUAAUCAGAGAGUCAUUCUUCUGUUACGUUUAACAAAGCACACUGUUGAUAUAAAGUUGCAUCUUUUUGUGCAUUACAUGGAAACAAAGCUUCAGAAAUUGUUAAAUUUUGCCCACAAUGGAUCUCCAUACCUUUUCCAAAACAGUAUUAUGUUUAUAGGUAUUGGUACAGAGGCAUGUGACAUACUUUCUCAAGUCACAAGAUACCAAAAAAAGAGUUAUACUACAGGCUUAUCCCACACGUUUAGCAUUAGGAAGAAGAAACAAUGUUCAUUUUUCUUUCACUACUAAGGCUUAACAAAUUCAGCAUAAAUACCACAUAAGCUACCAUGUGAAUUGCUACAACAGUCCAAUUUGUUGCUCGCUUAUAAAAUCAACAACUGAAUGUUAUGAAUAUUUCACAAUUUCUCUAAAGUUCUUUUCACAGCAGGAAAGAAUGGUCUGCACAGGAACACUGAUUUGAGCAUAAGUGAAAAAAUUAGAGACGAGACAAUCAUUGACUAAAAUGUCAACAAUAUUGAUGCAACUUUUUUUAUCUAUAAUGUGAUAAGGUAACUAAGAUCACUGGAUUGUUUCUCACCUUCAACAGAUGUCCUUUUUACACUUGAGGUAGACAAUGCUAUCAAUUUCAUGCUGUGACCUUGUAGAUCUAGAGACGUAUUUCAGAAAAUGUGGCAAGCUUGCUUGAUCUUUAUUGCAUGUGUGGCUACUCUUACUUUUCAAGUGAUAAAAACCAUUGAAAUUAGUUUUCAUGGGCAUGUCAAAAUUUGGUUACUUCCACAAAAAUUUCAGAAGUCCCCACUUCCACACGGUCACCAGCCAUUUCUGCCAGCAUUAUUUUGAAAUCAAAGCAUACCAGAUUCUAGACCUUCCGUCUUUCCCACCUAAUUAACAAUGGCUAGAGGUGGAAGCAGAGGAGAUCUAAGGACAUUUGGAUCCUGGCAGCCACUUUUUUUAACAAAUCUGACCCCAUCACAGUAUUACAAAAUGUCAGCCUCUGAAAUUUUUUUUGUAAGCACGCCAAAACGCCUCUAAACAUCAAUAUUUAUGAGUUUCAUGCCUUUUUAAGGUAUUUGGGAUUCUUACUCUUCCUUUUUUUGGUAAUUAAUCUAACACUUCCUACAUUAUACUCUGCCACCUUGUUUCCCACUCUCAAUCUUUCUAUAACUCUCUGCAGACUCUUCCUGUCCUCACAGUUUACAUUCCCGUUUAGCCUUGUUCCAUGAAAAAACUUACAUACCAUGGGUGGAAUUUUCCCAGCAUUUGAAUGAUAUGAGCAACGGCAAGAGACAGAAAAUAUGGCAAGAUGAAAAAGUCAAAUUUUCGAUAUUGAGAAAAAGAUUCAAAUUUCUUUAAAGUUUUCAAUGGCCAGCUGUGUAUCUUGCUAAUAAGCAGUGGUUACCUUCUCUCCAUACAUUCACAUUUCAUUAUUAGCUAAUCUCACCCCAUUUAUAUGUAGUUUGCAAAUCUCCCAUGCACUGCUGAAAAACUAGAUGGCACCAAUUCCCACAGAUAAUCUGAAAGAUGUAGCUUAAUGGUUGCUUCUCUGGGCCUCAAUUUAAGAUCCAUUCACCGGAGUCUCAUUGCAUACUACAAAGGCAGUGACCACCUCAAUUGUUUGUCUGCACAAGUUGGCAGCAGCAAAACGCCACUCUCAUUACAUCCUCAUGGUUCAUCUUUACAAACUCAAUACACUUCAUCAUUGCACUUUGAAGCUCUUGGUCACCCUACAAUGCAAAGGCCCUGCCAGGUCUAUUUUGCAUACAGGGACAGAUACCCAUCUAAGUAUCUGUAAAAAUUACAAUUUAUAGCUCUUAGCUUGCUUUUCUAGUACCCACUCAUUUUGUGCCUGCUUUGACGUUCACAACAACUGAUUAAUGCCUCGCCUUUUUGUACAUCCCUGCUUCAAUGAGAACUCACAGGGUAACAGCAUCUCUGAUUUGCAUUACUUAUUAGCGCACACAGAAAUCCGGGCAGCUUGUCAGGGUUUCCUGUGCUGAAUUGUCAAGUGGGUGGACAUGUUGCUGUGUGCCACAGUGUUACAUCAAUGUUACAGGA